rnacentral:lncRNA from 1 species
CAGCUUCCCUAGGUUACAAGAUAAUGGAGAAAGAGUGGAGAAGAAACUGACACAAGGCACAGAGAGAUGGAUUGUUUCCUGCCUUUUGUCUAUGUAACAGAACCACUGUCUUCCUGUAAGCCCUAUGACAAUGUUUGUUGGCAAUUUCUUCUAACAACCAUGGAGGAGGUGCUAUAAAGCAGAAUAGAAGCUUUAGAAAGUGUUUUAUAACAGAACAGAGCAGCAACAACAAAAACAGCAAUUCAGACUUUCAAAAGGGGUAAAUACUGUUACUUUCAGGUUAUGACAUCUUUUUAAAAUGUUAUCCAUUCUUUAUUAAUUU